rnacentral:ncRNA from 1 species
CAUGAAGCCGGAAUCGCUAGUAAUCGCCGGUCAGCCAUACGGCGGUGAAUUCGUUCCCAGGCCUUGUACACACCACUCAUCACACUAUGAGAGCUGGCCAUGCCCGAAGUCGUUACCUUAACAGCAAGGAGAGGGAUGCCGAAGGCAGGGCUAGUGACUGGAGUGAAGUUGUAACAAGGUAGCCAUACUGGAAGGUGCGGCUGGAUCACCUCCUUU